rnacentral:rRNA from 1 species
GACGGAGGAUGCAAGCGUUAUCCGGAAUUACUGGGCGUAAAGCGUGCGCAGGCGGCGCGUUAAGACAGGUGUGAAAGCCCCGAGCUUAACUUGGGAAUUGCGCUUGUGACUGGCGUGCUGGAGUGUGGCAGAGGGAGGUGGAAUUCCACGUGUAGCAGUGAAAUGCGUAGAGAUGUGGAGGAACACCGAUGGCGAAGGCAGCCUCCUGGGCCAGCACUGACGCUCAUGCACGAAAGCGUGGGGAGCAAACAGG